GAAGAUCUCAGCAUCAAAGGGCAACAACCCCAGCCUUAAAAUACAUCGGAUCAAAUCUGAUAUUUACAAUGUAGGCAAAGGCACAGUGGCAUUGAAAAACAAAACGCUGGGAAAUGUAUAGUAAAAGAUUCGUUGUAAUCAUUAAUCUGGUUUCAACUAGGAGAAUUAACUCUUGAGAGACGAUGCACAUGGCAGGCCAGUGUGCGGGUUACUAGGCAGACCACGCCUCCUUCAGACCACGCCUCCUUCCCGCCGUUCACAUCUUUCCUGCCUUCUUGCCCAUCUGCGCUGGCACUCGGAGGAUGUUGGGGGUCUCCUCCAUGACUCUCACUAGCAGGUUGUCGAUGUAGUCCUCCAGCUCCCGCACCUGAAACUCCUUCUUACUGAUGGUCUCCUUCUGUUUGAGGACCAGCUGGAUCAGCUCAUCGUGGGUCAGCUGUGCGUGUCGGAAUUAAAGUCUCGCACCACCACACCCGGCUUAGAAAGCCACUUUCCACAAAGGACGAAACCAGGCGGCUGACGAGAAGAGAGAAGUGCUUUGGAGUCUGUAGAGGCCGAGAUUACAAGCCUGAGCUACCACACCCUGUUUAUGUGGUCCAGAGGAUCAACCCCACAAUUCCUGAUUACUAGGCAAGAACUCUAUCAACUGAUUAAACCCUAGUCCUUCCUUUUACUUACUUCUUAAAAUGACCCACUCCAUAGGAUGGAACCUGAGACUAGAUAGGCCACGCCAUGGCCCCAGGGAAAUCCAAAUACUACUGCUCUGCUAAAGGGACAGGGCAACAGAAGGACUCUAAUGACACACUGCCACACCUAAGAUCUCUGUCCACCCAACCACCGUCAGAGAAGCCCCCGCAGCUGGACAGUGCCUCCCCUCAGGGCUCAGGGAACCCUGUGGAAGAGGAGGCAGGAAAACUUUAAGGGCUAGAGGGGGAAGUACAGCAAGGCAGGAAGGCCUUCUAGACACAAGAGGACUGACACGCCUGUGCUCCUACAGACAGGCAGCAGGCUCAGGUUCAAGCCAGGUGACUCCCAGCACGGGCAGAGAGAGGAAGCGGACACAAGGUCCCACCUUAACUCAAAAGUCAUCUCCAACUGACAGCCACUUGCAAAGGAAACAUUAGUUUCUCCAAGGGAAGUCUCCUUGGGUACACAAACCCAACUGAUGCACAGGCCCCAUGCCCAGCGGUAGAUAGCCCACACAAAAUGAACAAUAGUAUUUUUGUAGAUUUUUUUUUUUGGGUCUCUUAUUGUUUUAUCUGGAGUUUUCAUUUGCUUAAAUAUUAUUGUUUCCAAUUUUGUGUUUUUAUUCUCUCUCUCUCUCUGUAUAUACUUUUCUGUUUUAUUCUGGUUUUUGUUUUGUUUUACUUGUCUGUAUGUUCUGUAAAGGCAGAGGGCGGGGGGGGGCACGGAGUUGGAUGGGUGGGGAGGAUCUGGGAGGAAAAGAGGGAGGGGGGACCAUGAUCAAAUACAUUAUAUG
rnacentral:lncRNA from 1 species